rnacentral:rRNA from 1 species
GGCCUGUUGCUUAUAAUUUCAGGUCUCGCCUGCCCACUGAGUAUUUAAAGGGCCGCGGUAUCUUGACCGUGCAAAGGUAGCAUAAUCAUUAGUUUUUUAAUUGAAAGCUUGUAUGAACGGUAGUAUGAGAAAAUCACUGUCUCUAGUCAAUUUUUAGUUGAAUUUUAUCUUUGAGUAAAAAAGCUCAAAUAUUAUUAAAAGACGAGAAGACCCUGUAGAAUUUUAUACUAAAGUUUAUUGGUUUUUCAUUGGAAUUUUUCUUUAGUUAAUAAAUUAUAGUAUUUGGUUGGGGUGAUCGAAAAAUUUGAAAAACUUUUUUUUAAUUGAUACAUUGAUUUAUGAAUGAUUGAUCCAAGGUUUUUGAUUAUAAGAUAAAAUUACCUCAGGGAUAACAGCGUAAUCUUCUUUGAGAGUCCUAAUUGAAAAGAGGGUUUGCGACCUCGAUGUUGGAUUAAAAUAAAAUUCUGGUGCAGAAGCUAGAAAUUUUAGGUCUGUUCGACCUUUAAAAUUU